GAGAUGUUGGGUUAAGUCCCGUAACGAGCGCAACCCUUAUCUUUAGUUGCCACCAUUUAGUUGGGCACUCUAAGGAGACUGCCGGUGAUAAACCGGAGGAAGGUGGGGAGGACGUCAAGUCAUCAUGGCCCUUAUGGGUAGGGCUACACACGUGCUACAAUGGCCGGUACAGAGGGGUGCUAACUUGCGAGAGUACGCUAAUCCCUUAAAGCCGGUCUUAGUCCGGAUUGCAGUCUGCAACUCGACUGCAUGAAGCUGGAAUCGCUAGUAAUCGCGGAUCAGAAUGCCGCGGUGAAUUCGUUCCCGGGCCUUGUACACACCGCCCGUCACACCACGGGAGUGGGUUGCAAAAGAAGUGGGUAGGCUAACCUUCGGGAGGCCGCUCACCACUUUGUGAUUCAUGACUGGGGUGAAGUCGUAACAAGGUAGCCGUAAAGGG
rnacentral:rRNA from 1 species